rnacentral:sRNA from 1 species
GGCGUUCCUGUUACCUCUCAUCAUUGUGUUAAUGGUGAAGCACAGCGAUUCCCGGACGCACUCUCUGAGAUAUUUUCGCCUGGGCGUUUCGGAUCCCAUCCAUGGGGUCCCUGAAUUUAUUUCGGUUGGGUACGUGGACUCGCACCCUAUCACCACAUAUGACAGUGUCACUCGGCAGAAGGAGCCACGGGCCCCAUGGAUGGCAGAGAACCUCGCGCCUGAUCACUGGGAGAGGUACACUCAGCUGCUGAGGGGCUGGCAGCAGAUGUUCAAGGUGGAACUGAAGCGCCUGCAGAGGCACUACAAUCACUCAGGGUCUCACACUUACCAGAGAAUGAUUGGCUGUGAGCUGCUGGAGGAUGGAAGCACCACAGGAUUUCUGCAGUAUGCAUAUGACGGGCAGGAUUUCCUGAUCUUCAAUAAAGACACCCUUUCCUGGCUGGCUGUAGAUAAUGUGGCUCACACCAUCAAGCAGGCAUGGGAGGCCAAUCAGCAUGAGUUGCUGUAUCAAAAGAAUUGGCUGGAAGAAGAAUGUAUUGCCUGGCUAAAGAGAUUCCUGGAGUAUGGGAAAGACACCCUACAAAGAACAGGUAAAGAGAAAGAGAAGGCCUCAUUCCCACAUUGCCUGAACAACUGUUUUUAUACGUAACUCUUUUAAUCUAGGUUAUAUCCACUGUAUCCUGAAAGCCAUCUCUUUAGUUGGCCUAUUGUGAUCUCAUGGCUAGAGCCCCCACGAGAACUUUCCCUGGUUACUUUUGAGCGGCAUCUUGACAAGAUUUGACAGUUCCCCUUGACAGAGUGGAGUACCUCCAAGGGCACCUUGUUUUUGGGGAUCUAUUGAGGCAAAUUCUUCCAUUCCAUCAAUGAUAAGCUGGGAAAUUCUUUGGGAGAUAGAGCAAUUCUUACAAACUGUUUAGUUAACAAAGGGCUCACACACCACCAGUAGGAGUAAAAAUCUGGAUUUACCAAGACAAACAGAAGGUCUCUGCUUUACUAAAGGAUUAAUGAGGUUGGGCUUGUUGGCUCAUGCCUGUAAUCCUAGCACUUUGGGAGGCUGAGGCAGGAGGAUUGCUUGAGGCCAGGAGUUUAAGACUGGCCUGGGUAACAUUGUGAGACCCUGUCUCUAUUAAAAAAAAAAAAAUUAGCUGAGCAUGGUGGCACAUGACUGUAGUCCCAGAUACUCAGGAGGCUGAGGUGGGAGGAUCUCUUGAGCCUGGAAGGUCAAGGCUGCAGUGAGCCAUGAUCAUGAUCAGCCUGGGUCACAGAGCAAGACCCUAUUUAAAAAAAAAAAAAAGUAUUAAUGAUAAGAUUCCUUUCAGCAAAGAGCUCCUCUUAUACCUUAAAGAUAUGAUUCAGUUGGUCAACUUUUAGUUCAUACAGAACUUUUCAUGUAUGAUCUUGUUAUUCAAAAUUAAUCAUGCCUGUAUGAUGCUACAGGAAACUCCUAGAUACAAUGUGUGUGGGAAGAGUAUGGGAAGCUCCCCUCUCCAGGCCUCUGUCUACAUUCAGUGUCCUAAUGGAUUUUCAACCUUUUGGUCAAAACACACUCCUAAAAAAACAAACAAAAAAAAAAAAAA